rnacentral:tRNA from 1 species
ACCUCGGUACCGCUGUAGGUAGCGCGUCAGUCUCAUAAUCGAGAAAGGAGAAAUCUGAAGGUUGUGAGUUCGACCCUCACCCGGAGCA